rnacentral:rRNA from 1 species
UACAGAGGUCUCAAGCGUUGUUCGGAUUCAUUGGGCGUAAAGGGUGUGUAGGUGGCGCCGUAAGUCGGGGUGUGAAAUUUCGGAGCUUAACUCCGAAACUGCAUUCGAUACUGCGGUGCUUUGAGGACUGGAGAGGAGACUGGAAUUCAUGGUGUAGCAGUGAAAUGCGUAGAGAUCAUGAGGAAGACCAGUGGCGAAGGCGGGUCUCUGGACAGUUCCUGACACUGAGACACGAAGGCCAGGGGAGCAAACGGG